GGUUAAAGUGUGUGAUAUAUGUGGAAAUGCAGGGCGUGAGGACUUACUUGCUAUAUGAUGUAGAUGUCUGGAUGGUGCGGAGCACACAAUGCGAAAUGGAGGAAACUAAAAUCACAAACCGACAAGAAUAACACAGGGACUUCAACUGAAAAGACCAGUCUUCGCAUUCAAAAGUUGCGAAAGCACAUGGAAAAAAGACUUGCAGACAAAUUAGAUUCGUCUUUUAAAAACUGGCUCUUGAGAUCCCAGGGUCAUGUAAAGACGUUGAGCGUGGGAAAGUGGAAGUUGACCAUCAGUUUUAUCAUUUUGGUAGUGAGUCUACAGAAGGGUCACAUUCUCUCGCGACACGCCCACGAUUAUAAUCUUUACUAGGUGACCUUCAACGGUUAAGGUAAGAAAAAACUUACAUUUUCGAGCUACGAACCGAACCGAGCUACGAAUCGAAGGUUAAAACACGAGAUGGAGUCAAGCUACUAAUACUUGACAACGACGGCAAACCUACGAAUAAAACAAAUAAUGUUGUUUAUAAAGAAAUCUUCAAUGAGUUGUGAUUUUUGGUUGUAUUCAUGUAUUUCAAUUAUUUGGUGUACUCUCUAUCAUUUCCGUUAAUAUU
rnacentral:lncRNA from 1 species